GUAUUGCUGAAGAGUCCCAAACUAGUUGGACGAAAUAGCUUUCCAGUAC
rnacentral:hammerhead_ribozyme from 1 species